UCCGGAUAAGAACCCAGACUAAAAAUGCCAGAUCGAAACAAAGUAAUGCAAAACUUGCUCCCUGAUGUCAGCGGCGGACGGCUUUAUAACACGUGGGUAACCUGCCUGUAAGACUGGGAUAACUCCGGGAAACCGGGGCUAAUACCGGAUGCUUGAUUGAACCGCAUGGUUCAAUUAUAAAAGGUGGCUUUUGCCACCACUUUAAAGUGGGCCCGGCGCGCCUUAACUAAUUGGUGAAGUUACCGGCUCCCCAAGGCACGAUGCCUAACCCACCUUAAAAGGUGGUCCGCCCCACUGGGAAUGAAACCCCGCCCAAACUCCUUAGGGAAGCAACCAUAAGGAAUCCUUCGCAAUGGAACAAAGGCUGAAGGAACCACCACGCCUGAGUUGUGAAAGAUUUCCGAAAG
rnacentral:rRNA from 1 species